rnacentral:rRNA from 1 species
UACGGGGGAGCAAGCGUUGUUCGGAUUUACUGGGCGUAAAGGGCGCGUAGGCGGCCACCGCAAGUCGACUGUGAAAUCUCCGGGCUUAACCCGGAAAGGUCAGCCGAUACUGCGGGGCUAGAGUGCAGAAGGGGCAACUGGAAUUCUCGGUGUAGCGGUGAAAUGCGUAGAUAUCGAGAGGAACACCUGCGGCGAAGGCGGGUUGCUGGGCUGACACUGACGCUGAAGCGCGAAAGCUAGGGAGCGAACGGG